rnacentral:rRNA from 1 species
GUUGAACGCUGGCGGCGUGCCUAAUACAUGCAAGUCGAGCGAAGCGGGGACGGGUGAGUAACACGUGGAUAACCUCCCAUAAGACUGGGAUAACUUCGGGAAACCGGAGCUAAACCGGAAACUUAUAGAUGGAUCCGUUCGGCAUUAGCUAGUAGGUAAGGUAACGGCUUACCAAGGCAACGUUUCUUAGUAGACCUGAGAGGGUGAUCGGCCACACUGAAACUGAGAAACAGUCCAGACUCCUACGGGAGGCAGCAGUAGGGAAUCUUCCGCAAUGGGCGAAAGCCUGACGGAGCCACGCCGCGUGAAUGAUGAAGGUCUUCGGGUCGUAAAACUCUGUUAUUAGGGAAGCGGUACCUGAUCAAGAAGCCACGGCUAACUACGUGCCAGCAGCCGCGGUAAUAC